GAGGCCUAGAUAAUCAGAGAAGCGACAACUCUACCCCCACCUAGAGUCCUAUACUCCCACCAUGGUUCCCAUCGGGCCCGCAGCUGAUCGCUUGUGAAAAAACUAACCUCUGAAGCGUCGUCUACAAUACGCGGAGUAAAAAAUAGGAGUAGGCGUAAGAAGUGAGAAGAACCAGUUCAUGAAAUAAAAAUAGAAAAACAAUGUAACGAGACUGAUACUACUUCUGUUCAAGUAUCAAAUGAAUAUUCUGCAAAGAUUCGUGCUAUUGAAGAGAGACAUUUAAUCCCUUUUCUACUUUCCAAAACAGAAUGUUAUACAAUUGAGGAACUGAAAUUGCAGUGUAGCAAAGCAUCACAAGUUAUUCAAGACCUGAGAGUUGAACGUGACUUAGGCCUGCAGCAGUUAUGUAAGAUGUUCAGUGAGAUUGCCAAAAUGGAGAAGGCAUUGCGCAAGUUACAGUCUACUGCUACUAAAUGUAAUUCCAAGAAGUGUACAACAAGGAAAUAGACCUAAACACUUGUGUUCAUUGUGUCUGAUUAUUUGUAAUAUUUUUCUAAUUACGAGUUUUAUAAUCAUCCGUUAUAUUUGUUAUACCUCAUACUGUCUUUAAA